rnacentral:rRNA from 1 species
AACGAACGCUGGCGGCAGGCCUAACACAUGCAAGUCGAGCGCACCUUCGGGUGAGCGGCGGACGGGUUAGUAACGCGUGGGAACAUACCCCUUUCUACGGAAUAGCCUCGGGAAACUGAGAGUAAUACCGUAUACGCCCUUCGGGGGAAAGAUUUAUCGGUGAGGGAUUGGCCCGCGUUAGAUUAGAUAGUUGGUGGGGUAAUGGCCUACCAAGUCUACGAUCUAUAGCUGGUUUUAGAGGACGAUCAGCAACACUGGGACUGAGACACGGCCCAGACUCCUACGGGAGGCAGCAGUGGGGAAUCUUAGACAAUGGGCGAAAGCCUGAUCUAGCCAUGCCGCGUGAGUGAUGAAGGCCUUAGGGUCGUAAAGCUCUUUCGCCAGGGAUGAUAAUGACAGUACCUGGUAAAGAAACCCCGGCUAACUCCGUG